rnacentral:rRNA from 1 species
UACGUAGGGGGCAAGCGUUGUCCGGAUUUAUUGGGCGUAAAGAGCUCGUAGGCGGCCGGUUGCGUCUGCUGUGAAAUCCCGGGGCUUAACCCCGGGCGUGCAGUGGAUACGGGCCGGCUGGAGGCAGGCAGGGGAGAAUGGAAUUCCCGGUGUAGCGGUGAAAUGCGCAGAUAUCGGGAGGAACACCGGUGGCGAAGGCGGUUCUCUGGGCCUGUACUGACGCUGAGGAGCGAAAGCGUGGGGAGCGAACAGG